rnacentral:rRNA from 1 species
AUGGAGGUGGAUUAUCUGGAGUUGGUAAUGCUCUGGGAAACUCGUCACAAUUCUCAUUCUAUUGUGGCUCCAAUCUUAUUAGAAAUAGGAGAGAUUAGUACUCUUUUCAUUUCUUUUGAUGUUCUUCAUGUAAGAAGGUCAGCAAACUUGCCAGCGCAUCUCUGUGCAAAACACGCAUGCACAUUGAAUGUGACUGAUAGUUGGCUCGACAAGACUCCUAGCUUCCUUGUGACCAGCUUUCUUGCUGAUUGUCCAAGGAAUGCUCUUGCUUAA